rnacentral:tRNA from 1 species
UCGUAUCUAGUUUAUUAAGAAUGUCAUUUUGUGGGGAUGAAGGAAUCUGUUAGUUGAUGCGAA